UGGUAGUCCACGCCCUAAAACGAUGCUGACUAGUUGUUCGGGAUUUUACAUCCUGAGUAACGUAGCUAACGCGUGAAGUCAGCCGCCUGGGGAGUACGGUCGCAAGAUUAAAACUCAAAGGAAUUGACGGGGACCCGCCAGGCGGUGGAUGAUGUGGAUUAAUUCGAUGCAACGCGAAAAACCUUACCUACCCUUGACAUGUGACUAACGAAGUAGAGAUACAUUAGGUGCUCGUAAGAGAAAGUCAACACAGGUGCUGCAUGGCUGUCGUCAGCUCGUGUCGUGAGAUGUUGGGUUAAGUCCCGCAACGAGCGCAACCCUUGUCUUUAGUUGCUACGCAAGAGCACUCUAAAGAGACUGCCGGUGACAAACCGGAGGAAGGUGGGGAUGACGUCAAGUCCUCAUGGCCCUUAUGGGUAGGGCUUCACGCGUCAUACAAUGGUGCAUACAGAGGGUUGCCAACCCGCGAGGGGGAGCUAAUCUCAGAAAAUGCAUCGUAGUCCGGAUCGUAGUCUGCAACUCGACUACGUGAAGCUGGAAUCGCUAGUAAUCGCGGAUCAGAAUGUCGCGGUGAAUACGUUCCCGGGUCUUGUACACACCGCCCGUCAUACCAUGGGAGUGGGUUUUGCCAGAAGCAGUUAGCCUAACCGCAAGGAGGGCGACUGCCACGGCAGGGUUCAUGACUGGGGUAAAGUCGUAACAAGGUA
rnacentral:rRNA from 1 species